UACAGAGGGUGCAAGCGUUAAUCGGAAUUACUGGGCGUAAAGCGCGCGUAGGUGGUUUGUUAAGUUGAAUGUGAAAUCCCCGGGCUCAACCUGGGAACUGCAUCCAAAACUGGCAAGCUAGAGUAGGGCAGAGGGUGGUGGAAUUUCCUGUGUAGCGGUGAAAUGCGUAGAUAUAGGAAGGAACACCAGUGGCGAAGGCGACCACCUGGGCCCAUACUGACACUGAGGUGCGAAAGCGUGGGGAGCAAACAGG
rnacentral:rRNA from 1 species